rnacentral:lncRNA from 1 species
GUUUUAAUCAGUUGACUCAUUUUAGAGUAAUUGCUUCUGAAUCAUUUUUCCAUUUUUGUAAUUUUUUUGGCUACUAUUUAGAACUAAAUCAGAGAUUGACCAUGAUAUUUAUGACAAAAAUAUCAAGCUUGACAAGGUUGAUGUCCUUGUAAAACUAGAACAAAAAAUAGUCAAAUUUUAUGAGGAAUAUUACCCUUGAAAUGGCAAAUUGCUGUUUCAGUAACUAUUGUAUUGAAACCUUUAUUUGAUUAGGACGAUCAAAGUAAGUUGCCACAUCUUAUUAGGAAGACAGUGUUUACAACCAUGCAGAAUAUAGAUGGGAAAGGACAAAUUAUAUAGUUUGCCCCUGAAAUGAUGAUUUUAAGACAUUAUUGGGAGUACAAAAGAUAUAUGAUUAAUAACUGUCAAACAGCAAAGAUACUAAGCAAUACAAUAUCUACUUGUACCUGAAAGCAACUUCAACUGCAGCUCUGACAAAUUAUCCUUGAAUUUCAAUUUUGCUGUUUUUGGUUAAUAUACUGAAAGAUGUAGCAUCUGCCAUUUUUUUUUCUCACUCAUCUGGGAACCUCGAAUUGUGUUAACAGCAUUAUAGUAUUUUUAUUACUAUACUAUAUAUAAAAAUAUUAAUUUUCGCGAACCAUUUAGGUCACGGAAAUUCCAAAAUAUGGCAUCAGUAAGGAGAGUUGUGCAAAUAAUGUGAAUACACAGAACCCCCAUCCAAAUUAUCUUUAGCUAAAA